rnacentral:lncRNA from 1 species
AUGUGUGUGUGUGUUUGUGAGAGUGUGUGUUGUGCACCAGCUCUUGAACUCCCGCCAUCCAAUCAGCUUCAUCCUGCACUUCCUUCCCAAUGGCUACUGCAGUCAAUCUGUGUAUUCAUCAAAGCCUGUGUGUCUGCAGUGGUCCUAUCCGGAUCCCCACUGCUAAAAUCCCACCUCCUCCCAGCUGACCCUCCCAUCCCCCUUCCCACACACCCGUGCCACAUGAGGCCCUGCGGUGUGACUCAGUGGACAAACUUACACCAGUCUGAGAGUCUGGGCCGGGCUUUCCCAAGCCACACAUCUCAAUUUGCCAGCGCAAGAGACCCACAGGGGUUAGGCUUUCCCAUUCUGUAAAGGUAAAGAUGCAUUUGGUUGUUUUCUUGCAGUAAACAUGUCAUUUCUUUACUCCUUCUUAAGUAGGGGUUUUGUCAUACUGCAGUGCAGCACUGUGAGAGAUCUCGGCGCGCGAGCGUACGCUCUUUGCAACAUGCUGAGUUUGUGGUUUUCGCUUUGAGCAUGCUGGCCUUGAGCACUUGCUACAGGCAGGUUGUUUCCUUAUUAAUGUCUACGGAUGUGGUCAAAAUUGUGCUUAAGAGUGUUUGUUUAUGUGUAGAAGUGCUUGCUGUUUUGGGUGCAUGUGGGUGUAGCUGAAAUUGUAACAAAGGUGUUGAUAAUAGAUAGACCUUUAAUUAUCGAUGGCUGCACAAAUAUCAUAAAGUUUGUUUAGCCAGACUUUGACCUCACUUGUAUUGUACUUGUAUUGUACUUGAUUUUAUGAUUUUAUCAUAGUGAACUGAACUGCAGUCUAAAGCUGUCUUUGGUAGCUAUUUUUUUUUUUUUAAGUCUUUGGACACAUGGUGUUUCACCCCCUCUGGAUAGGUGACAAUACGGCCCUUUAUGGGUGGUCCUUAUAAUGUGUGAUGGCAGAGUCUGCAUGGUUUAUGUGUGCAAUAGGCUUGAUUAAUGAUCAGUUUGAACUCUUUGUGAUGGAGUGAGCUAAAAAGGUGAGUUCUUAAGGGGUGUUCACACUGGAUGCUAAUUAGAAAUACAAAGCAAUCUGAAGUCAUUGAUUUUCACAGAGACCUGGCUGUUUGAGUUCAGAUUUUUCAAAUGCUCCGUGACUUUCAGCAGGAAAGCUCUAAGUAUGUUUACAUGUGCAGUUAUUUAUAUUUUGUGGGGUUUUGUGCUAGUAUUGUUAUUGUUGAUAAAAACUACUUAAAUUAUUUAAACUAUCUUAAUUUUUAAUUUGUUUAAAUGUGUUUAGUAAUUGACAAAGCUUUCUCUCUCUAUAUAUAUUUUUUCUGUUAGUUUUAAAUUCAAAAUGUAUCAUUUUUAAAGGUGCGCACUAUUCUAUUCUAUUCUAUUCUAUUCUAUUCUAUUCUAUUCUAUUCGACGUGUGUGUGUGUGUGUGUGUGUGUGUCGUGUGUGUGUGUGUCUGUGUGCGCACAUUCAUUCAUUCAUUCAUUCAUUCAAAUUCAGUGUUUGUUAUUUUCUUUUUAGAAACAUGAGCAUCCAAUAAUUUUGUUCUUACAUUAGUUACAGGCCACAACUAUUAACAGACAUCAUCAAAAACCAAGCAAACAUGUAUAUCAAACAUUAUACACAAAAUUAAUAUUUAAGGGACAAAAUAUAAAUAAAAAAUUAUGAUGAGAACAUAUAACAAGAAUAAUAAAAAAAAAAUGUUUUUUAAUAUGUUUUUUUUUUUUUUCAAUCCAGCCGAGAUGAAUGUGAAAUAAAAUGGAUUUUAUUAAUAUAUAUAUUAUUAUUACUAAGUGUAUACCUCAUAAAGGAGACUAAAUGAUUUAGCAUUGAUAAUAUUAUAUUUUAUUGGGUCUCUUGCAGCCUC